GGCUCAGGAUGAACGCUAGCGGGAUGCUUAACACAUGCAAGUCGAACGACCCUUCGGGGUGAGUGGCAAACGGGCGAGUAACGCGUACUUAACCUACCCAGAAGUUGGGAACAACUACGGAGACGUAGCUAAUUCCCAAUGUUCCCUGCACUAUGAAAAAAUGCAGGGCAAAGAUUUAUCGCUUUUGGAGGGGGGUGCGUCCUAUCAGGUAGUUGGUGUGGUAAUAGCUCACUAAGCCUAUGACGGGUAGCCCGGUCUGAGAGGAUGUCCGGCCGCAAUGGAACUGAGACACGGUCCAUACUCCUACGGGAGGCAGCAGUGGGGAAUCUUGCGCAAUGGGCGAAAGCCUGACGCAGCAAUCCCGCGUGAAGGAUGAAGCAUUAUGGUGUGUAAACUUCUUUUCUGGUGGAAGACGAAUGACGGUACACCAGGAAUAAGGGACGGCUAACUACGUGCCAGCAGCCGCGGUAAUACCGUAGGUCCCAAGUGUUAUCCGGAAUUACCUGGGCGUAAAGAGUCUGUAAGCCGGGUAUGUAAGUCUGUAAUCAAAUCCUAUGGCUUAACCAUAGAGAGGGAAUGGA
rnacentral:rRNA from 1 species